UUUUAAGUGUACCUAUGUGCUGCCCCUUAAAACAUUCAUGGCAUCUGGCAAAUAGACCCUUGUAGGCUGGCCUGGCAUAUUCAGAUGUUGCCGCAUCAUCACAGAGAAGGUCAAAUGAAGAUGUAACCAUUGCUGCUCAUGUGUCUUCUCUAAGCAACAAGGGGAGCGGGAUGUAAGAGAGAAGUUGCUAAUGAUACUGUACAAAGGAUGGAUUAAAUAAUGAAGUCAAUUUCAUUGAUAGAAAAUGCAAAUUUUAAGAUUCUCAGUGUAUGAGGUCUCAGCCUCGGGAGCAUUUAUUUUUUACUUUCCUGCUAAAAAUCCACUGGGGAGGUAUAAAAUUCACUCCAAAGAAGUUUGCCUGGGCCAAAAGCCUCCAGGUUCCUUCUGAGAACAAAAUACUAAUGAUUUUUUUUUUUUUUUUGGCUGCUUGGGAGAGACUUUCAGCAUUCUUUCACGAUAUCCAGAUAUGUCCCUUCAGCACACACACUCAACUUUCUCAUCUGGUUCGUUUCAUCCUCCCGAAAGAACGGUGCUCUCCCACUCUUACUCUAUUUCAAAGAGCUACUCUGUCUCAACCACAGCAGCCCUGCCAAGAAAAGGCAAGAUGAAAGGCUAGAGCAUGUGCUACCUUGAGAUUUCAAGAAGUGUCCUACCUCAGCUGAAGAUGGAGAAACGGGGAGUGGAGAGGGGAUCAGCCCAGGGUACCAUGUGAUGACUAAUAUGCCACUCAUUAAGGGCUUUUACCUCGGCUGUCCACAUCCAGUCAUGCAUUUGGGGCCAGGCAUGCCUGCGAAAUGAUUGACAUUCCUGUAGGUGCCCCAUAGAGGUGUGGCAUUGAGAAAUUAUGUCUGGAAAAUACAGCCAGUGUAGUGACCAGCUGAGUUACCAUAUACCCUGAUGAUUCCCCUUCUGUAACAGAAGGUGACAACAACUUUGUGAACUUUCUAUAUCUUUAUCUGAUGCCCCAAGUGGCAUCAUCUUUAUGUACAUGCCUUAGUUGAGAAUAUGAGACUGCUCUAAUCUUUGUGAAUGCCUUCACACUUCAGCUGAGGAUGUCACCUUCUCUGUCACUCCCCAUCCUGCAACCUCUGCCUUUGCUCUGUCUACCCCAGCAAUUUUCAUAGUGUUAUCCAGGUACUGUGCUAAAAGGUCAGCUCUUCUGUAAAAUGCCAUGCUUCGCAGCUUCAAAAAGCAAAAUUCUGUAUUUCAUGGAGGGAGGGAAGGGUCAUUCUCUUCUAAGAAAAAUAGACUGGACAGGCGAAUGCAUGCAUGCAUGUGUUUAGAGUUGCUUCUCAGAAGACAAAGAGAUGAUAGCAACUAUUAAAAUAUGAAUGAAUGAAUGAGUGAAUGAGUUGAAGGCCUAGCUCGGGCUGAUAAAGCUUUUGCCUUAGUAGAGGUUUUAUGUCAACACCUUCAGGAGGGAAGCCCUUAUUUCUGGGUUGAACUCCCCUUCCAUGAUAUUAUGCUAGCAAUUGCCAUCACUUAGUUCCUGGCGAAGGCAGAAAAAGAAAACAAAAAAUCAGCAUUGUCAUUGACAAAACUGGAUGCUGAAGAUAAAGUAAAAUUGUCUUUUCCCUUGUCCCACAUUUUUGGGAUUAAAGCCAGAAUUGAAUAGGAAAUACAGUACUAUUUCUGAAGUUGAUAGCCGAUCUUUAAGAAGACCCUGUCUUUAAAAUGAAACUAGCAGGCAAACACCUAAAUAAUCGAAAAUUACCAAAGAACAACAACGAAACAAGAAAACCUAAAGAUUUUUACUUCCUAUUCUUAUUCCUUUCCUUAUUACUGUGACACCCCUUGCAUUGCUCAGUUGCCUGUGUGUCAAAAUAACUUGUGGACGUUGGAAAUUAUUUGAAAAUGUAUUGUGUGGAAUGUAAUAAAAUGAUGAUAUUUUUAU
rnacentral:lncRNA from 10 species